AUCUGGGCUCUCUAUUCUGUUCCAUUCGUCUAUAUGAAAUUGGAGGGAGAGAUGAACCAUGAGAGACUAUGGACUCUGAGAAACAAACUGAGGGUUUGAGGGGAGGGGGAUGGGGGAAUGGGUUAGCCUGGUGAUGGGUAUUAAGGAGCGCACGUACUGCAUGGAGCACUGGGUGUUAUAUGAAAGCAAUGAAUCGUGGAUCACUACAUCAAAAACUAAUGAUGUAUGGUGACUAACAUAACAUAAUAAAAUAAAAUUUAAAAAAAUAUAUAUCUAUAUUUUCAGUGAUUACAAUGCUCCCUACAUCCCUGAGAAAAUUAAAGUGCUGAGGACCACUUCUUGACACCUUCAAGUAGAUUUGUGAAUUGUACCCAGAGAAGCCACAUUCAUUUUCAACCUGCUCAGCCUGGGAGGUAGAUUCUCCUCCGUGUCAAACCCCUCAUCAGAUUCCCUUUCCUCAAAGGCCUGGUUGAAGAUAGGAGCACUCUUCCUAGACGUCAGGUUGUGAUCACAAACGGCUUCCAGCAUAAAACCACUUGUGUGGAGAACAAGGGUUUCUUGUCCUCCUCAUCGUCUUCCUCUUCUUCCGCCCUGAACAGACGCUUCUGCCCACUGGCCGUCGGUUUCAAGCUUGUGAGUCUCACUGUGGAGAGUGCUGGUCUAGUCCAGCCUACUUGGGAAGGUCUGAAAUGCUGAAGAUAGGACACAACCAUAGCCUUUUUGGGGGCUUGUUUUGUAAUCAUAUAUGAUCCAAGAAACCUCUGCUACAAACCAAUGGAAAGGAGACUGUAUAAUUAUGGAUGGUGUGACCUUCUUCAAACAGCCAUAUCCAGGAGCUCACCAAGGAUUUCCUUAGAUAAGGAAUCCCAAAGCAAUAUGAGACAUCAGAUCAGUCUUCCUCUUGGUCACCUCAACAAAAUCCAGAGCCAGUGUCAGCAGGUAUAAAGGAAAGGAGUUAAAAAGAGUUUUUUGUUUUGUUUCGAUGAUAGAAAAAUGUGUGCCUCAAAACAGCUUCCCUGCUUUAAAAUAUUGAUAUCAGUCUUUGUAUGAAGAUGCUGUCUUAUUUAGUCUAGUGAAAAGAUCCCAAGAGGGUGUGGUGACAUGCAUCGAUGUGGAGAAGAGGUGAGUCACGAUGGGUGUGCAGUCUAUUACCCACAAAGUUAUGAAACUCCUUAUGGUGUGAAAGAGGUAUAGUCCUUCAGGAAACUGGAGAAAAUCCCAGAUAACUAUCUCAAGAAUUACCUGAGAUCUCUCAUAAACCCAGAUUCGCACAAGUGCUGGACAGUAACUGAAUGAAUUCCCAGAGAAUUCUGUGACCUUUCAGUCUUAUCAACUCAGAAAUACAUUGUUUCCUUGUGGCAGGAAAGUAUCAGAACCUCUCUAAUCAAGUAUAAGUCAUUAGAAUGUAGAAUCUUCAAUUUGUAUCACAACAUGAUGGACCACAGGAGUUCAUCAAGAUGAUUGAAUAGGUUCUUCUGGCGCUACUGCAGAUAAGGAUUUAUUUAUUUGUUUAUUUAUUUAUUUAUUGACAGAGAGGGACACAGCGAGAGAGGGAACACAAGCAGGGGGAGUGGGAGAGGGAGAAGCAGGCUUCCCGCUGAGCAGGGAGCCUGAUGCGGGGCUUGAUUCCAGGACCCUGGGAUCAUGACCUGAACCGAAGGCAGACACUUAACGACUGAGCCACCCAGGCGCCCAUGCAGAUAAGGAUUUAAACAUCAAGUCUUUCGCUGGCACAAAAGGAAGAUGAAAUUCCUAGUUACAACUACACAAUAGAAAUGAUGUUGACAUUGGCUAUGCCUGGUGGGUAAACAUUGUGAUAUACAGCUGGCAAUGAGAAAACAAAAAUGACAUACAGAAUAUGAAAUUAAGCAUCAAUGUGGGGAAGUAUGACAAUGCUUCAUCUGCAAAGAUGACUUAAAAAGAGAAUUUUGUGGGUAGUAAGAAGGGGGAAUUUGAGUUUUCAUAGACCAUCUAAUAUAUGACUACACUUCCUUAAAUACCUAUCCUGUUCACAUUUUACCUUGUUAAUGAAAUUAUUUUUAACUUGGUUGAAUUUUUAUAGCCAUUGAAAUGGAAAAAUAACUAAGGUAUCAACAUAAGAAUAGAUUUUGUUCAUCUGUUAUGUUUUUGUUCAUUUAUUGUUAAAGUAAUAUUAGUGUUGAAAAUUUGAAAUGUUUAAGUACACUGUAAGAUAAAAUAAUUAAUUCUGCUAAUGUGUUUGGGAACCAUUAUUUUCAGUGUAAGAUGAAAGAAGUACUAGUAAAAUAUCAGGGUUUUAUGAAAAAUAUGAAUAGAUCAGUAUAAGCUCAUAACUUAAAAUAGUAUGUUGUGAUUCCUUGCCAUGUCCACUGAUGGUAGUCAAGACUCAAUGACAUCCCAUUGGUUAGAAGCACCUGAAGCAGC
ensembl:lncRNA